UACGUAGGGGCCUAGCGUUGUCCGGAUUUAUUGGGCGUAAAGAGCUCGUAGGCGGUUCGGCAAGUCGGAUGUGAAAUCUCCACGCUCAACGUGGAGGGGCCAUUCGAAACUGCCGUGACUCGAGUCCGGUAGGGGAGUGUGGAAUUCCCGGUGUAGCGGUGAAAUGCGCAGAUAUCAGGAGGAACACCAAUGGCGAAGGCAGCACUCUGGGACGUGACUGACGCUGAGACGCGAAAGCGUGGGGAGCAAACAGG
rnacentral:rRNA from 1 species